rnacentral:rRNA from 1 species
AUUGAACGCUGGCGGCAUGCUUUACACAUGCAAGUCGAACGGGCUUGGGGGCUUGCUCCCAAGUUAGUGGCGAACGGGUGAGUAAUACAUCGGAACGUACCGUGUAGUGGGGGAUAACUUAGCGAAAGUUAGGCUAAUACCGCAUACGAUCUACGGAUGAAAGUGGGGGACCUUCGGGCCUCACGCUAUACGAGCGGCCGAUGUCUGAUUAGCUAGUUGGUGAGGUAAAGGCUCACCAAGGCGACGAUCAGUAGCGGGUCUGAGAGGAUGAUCCGCCACACUGGGACUGAGACACGGCCCAGACUCCUACGGGAGGCAGCAGUGGGGAAUUUUGGACAAUGGGCGAAAGCCUGAUCCAGCCAUGCCGCGUGUCUGAAGAAGGCC